rnacentral:tRNA from 1 species
GGGAAUGUAGCUUAGUGGUAGAGUGCUUGCUUAGCAUGCAUGAAGCCUUGGGUUCGAUUCACCAGUGCCA